rnacentral:lncRNA from 1 species
UCACAAUUCAGGCAGAGAGACACAGCUACACACAAGCUGUCCCACAGGCCCUGGACCCACUCACCUCACACUGAGAUGGAGCCCCAGCCCAAAGGACUGCUGAGGCUGUCAGGGAUGAAGUUUUAAAAGAAUUCCAGGGCUGGGAGUUCUAGCCACAUAUGAGUUUCAGGGUAUUUUGCUCUCAAUUAUCAGAGAAAGACACUGAGAAAAUUGAGAAAGUAUUCUGAAGACCCCCGCAGCAUCAGAGGGAUUUAUUGCUUUAUCGUGCAUUGUGGAACUGAACGUGAAAUAAGGC